ACUCGUCAGCCGAGCUCGGCCGACUCCUGCAUCUUGCGAUUGCGACCGAGGAAGGAACACAUCUCAACCUCUUGGGUUCUCGAACCUGAAGACAUGGCUACUAUUCUUACGAAGUUCACAAAUCAUCGUCGUCGGAUUCGGUCACAAUGUUGGUAUUCGUCAGAGUAAACUCACACCAAAUCGACACCAAAGUGUAAGGGCAUAAAUACUUAAAGCGAAUAUAUGUCUUAACAAUAAAUGUGGUUCGGCCGUCGGAAUGCCGAACUCUAAAUCCCACUUGAGAGUAUCCAAUCAUAAACUAACUCGGCGUGCAAUGUGCCGAGCCCAAUAAACUGUAACACCUCACUUCGCUGAGAAGGAUAAUGAGAUGACCUCGACCAAUAAGGAUUCGGGAAUCCUUUUCAACCGAGACUUGGAUAGAUAACCAGUCACCCUCGACGCAGUGCUAUCUAUGUCGAUUGAAGAUGCUGCGAGACCGGCUGGUUCUAUGGUGACAGUGCUAUCUAUGUCGACUGAAGAUAUCACCGGUUGCCUUCACAGUGAUGUUUAUCCAAACUGAAGGUGUGUCAGCAAAAAAAGAAAAGGAAAAAGUCUCAAGGUUGUUGAGAAACUUUGCGCAGGGUAGUUGUGUGUUGAAUUGAAGGGGGCUUGAACGAUGCACAGCCUCUUUUAUUUAUAGCAUUGGGUACUUUCUAGAUCGAGUUAAAACCCUACUUGGAUUAGGAUUUCUUCUUCUAAUCAAACACCAUCUCGACCAGUCCUAUUUUCACUAUGACUUUGAACCAGUCCUUUAUCAAGCCGGAUUCACUUCCGGGUUAUCAAUAUCCAUAUCUUGCCGAGACUCCUUAUUGCGCCAAGAUUCAGUUACUCGUCUCGCAGUAUGACUUGACCGACCUAGGUUAGGAAGCCCAUGAACUAAACGAUCCACGAUAACCUUUUCGUAAGGCCUUCCGGGCCGAGAAUAAAUCUCGGCCCAAAC
rnacentral:lncRNA from 1 species